rnacentral:lncRNA from 1 species
AAGAGAUCGUGUCCAAGCAUGAUUAUGAUAGGAAGCAAGUUGCAAGGGACUCUUCUGAUGACAGUGAGGCUGAGUAUGAAAAUAGGAGGAAGCUGAAGGAUGACAGUUACCAAAGAGGAAGGAAGCAGAUAAGAGAGGAGGACCACAGUCGCUAUGGAAGGGACAGGUAUCGAAGCGAUGAUGCUGGUCAGAGACGUGGAACUGUUAAGGAUGUUGAUGAUAGGUACAGAGGUCAAGCGAGCGAGGAAGAGGAUGAAAAUGAUAGGGGUCGAUACAGACAGAGACGUGAAACGGUUAAGGAGGAUGAUACAGAGUACAAGCGUGGCAGGGAGAGGUACAGAGGCGAUAAGGAGG